rnacentral:rRNA from 1 species
UACGAAGGGGGCUAGCGUUGCUCGGAAUUACUGGGCGUAAAGCGCACGUAGGCGGCUUUCUAAGUCGGGGGUGAAAUCCUGGAGCUCAACUCCAGAACUGCCUUCGAUACUGGAAAGCUCGAGUCCGGGAGAGGUGAGUGGAACUGCGAGUGUAGAGGUGAAAUUCGUAGAUAUUCGCAAGAACACCAGUGGCGAAGGCGGCUCACUGGCCCGGUACUGACGCUGAGGUGCGAAAGCGUGGGAGCAAACAGGA